rnacentral:lncRNA from 1 species
CGAGGGUUGCCACUUCUUCCAGCCCUCUGAUUUUUAAAUAAAAGGAAAUAAAAGUAGGCAUUUUUUUAGACUCCCUCUUCCCCUCCCCCCAAGAUGGUUUUCUUGUCUUAAAUAACUCCAUGUGUACCCAGCUGGGAACCAGCCAACCAAGAGCGUCUAACAACCAGAAGCACAUCCAUUUUUCUAGACGACACAAGCAUGUAGAUGCUGUGCACCGCGACUUAACGAAAUACUUUGAAACGGACGCUAUUCACUGUGUUUUUAACGAUUUAUCUACACCGGAAGUAGAUUGCUAGGGAGUACGUCUACUUCCCGGUAAACCUUCUCCUCUCAAUUUCAACCUUGCUAAACGUCCUGAAGAGUUCCUCAGUUCCGCAUGCACCCCAGAAGAAAUCCUCUCCUCAGGACAUUGAAUGCACCCCAUAUUCCUUAGAACGAGCCCCAGCCGCUGCUUGAGGGAUCAGCGGCCAGCAGCAGAUAGGUUGGUCUAGUCUCUCUUUUCUGGGCCCAGUGCCCAUGCUUUAAUGUAAUUUGCCUCCCAUCUUGGAGUCCAGCUGGAUUCUGAUUAUUGGAAAUUCUUAUGUACACAGCCAAUGAGAAGGUGUUUCACACGGUAGGAUAAACCCAUGCUGGUCUUUGGUGCCAGUUCGAUCACUCUCUUAGCCAUCUUACCACUGACCAGCCAGCAGGUAGAGGAGGUUGUAGCACUGACUGUGUGAGCCUAAACAGUACUCUCAUGGCCAGUGGGCAGAGGUCCCAAUGCCGGGGUGUUCUGGUAGGCCUCUUGCUCCACCAUUGCCUCUGAAGCACACUGUGUUCAAACACCCUCUCUUCCUUCAGACCUCUAUGAUUCAGUCCUCUUGUCUGGUCUGGCCCUCUCUGCUCUUUCAACCACAACCCACCCUGGUGAUAUGCUGAGGGUCAGGGAGGUCCCUCAGAAAACCAUAUGCCUCAACGAUCUUCCCAUCUCCUUAGACUUCUAGAACAAAACCCUUGGGGUUACCUGGGCAAGCAGCCACCCUGAGAAAUGAGCAAGUCUGGGAACCAAGCAAGAGCCUGGAGCGCUUGUGUCCCCUUCCAGACCCACUCUGAACCUCUCCCGUCAUCCCUGUUUGUCCCCAGUGGCCAUUCCCUCACAGUAACAUGGAGUUGUGGAAUUUUCUAGAAUGUCUUUAAUUUGUUGCUCUAUUUCUCCUCUCAGAGAAAACAUAUCAGCUUGCCAUUUUGGAUUUGGGAACAGCGAGGGAAAGACCACGGCUCUGUGGAUGAUGUGACAUUAUAUACAUUAUAUAUACACAUCCUAGAGGAUAUAUAUGUUUGUGGGUGGUCCCUUCGCAGUAAAAUCCUGUCUGUCCUACCGACUGUAACCACGCUUUUGACAUGAGUGUUGCUACAUGCUUCCCCGUCCCCAGUGACCACACAUCAAGUUUCUUUCAGCCCCGUCAGUCAGUUUCCGGAUCCCGAAGGCUUUCAGUCUUCAUUGGCAGGAGGAUCUUGCUACAGUUCCAUUAAGAGUCUUUGCUCCUCUCUGUGCUGCCUGUUUGUUUAGAGGAUGGGAGGGAGGUCAGUGAAGCCUCCCUUCUCAGGCUUCAUUGGGACACUGUGUUCUGUAGAUCGAGCUGAGCACUGGGUAGCUAUCUUAAUGUCACCUUUGGGCAAGCUUCCCUCUGACUCAGGGGCCGAGGACAGCGGCUUUCAGCUCUGCUUCGGUCCCAUCCCAAGUCAGGAAGCUGGGCCUCUUGGUAACAUCCCACACUGCACACGGGGCUGGAAAUUCCUGACCCAGCCCCGGCUCGUUAUAAAACUUGAAAUAUUGCUUUGAAGAUGGCACUCUGGGGUUAAGCACGGGGCUCCAUGAGUUCCCUAAUCCCCAACGGUCCCCUCUCCAUUCAGUGACAAGCCAUGGGCACGCAUCCAAUGCAUUAAGUCCAUACAAGAGCAAUAUAUCCAAGUGUCCACUAGAUCCAAACCAAUAUAUAUAUAUAAUGUAAUUUAUCUUCCUGCACUUUCGAGGUAUAAAGUAGUAAAUUGUAUAUACCUAAUCUCUAUAUAUCCACAUGCUAGUAUAUCGGUCUCACUAUUUGUAACAUCCUUUGUAGAACAAAAUGUACUAAAUAUUUUAGAAUUGCGCUGUGAUAUCCCUCCCCACCCCCACCCCCCCAAGUUUGUAAAGCUCUGCUCCUACACGAGCUGUCUGGAAAUACCCAAAGCCAAAGGGGCAUGUGGAACUCCUACAGGAAGGACACCUCCUGGGAUUCAGUAGCCCACAAAGACCUUGUGUCAAACCAACUAUCUGCAGAGCGAGCAUCGGCAUGCGAGAUGCCGGCACAUGCUCCCACUUCCGCCGGCCCUUGCUGUUCCGGUUCCAUUUUUUUUUUUUUUUGGGUAUGUCUGACAUAACUCUAUGGUUAUGAGAAUCACCUUGUAUAAGGUUCUAGCGGCAGCCAUGGCCCCAAUCCGUGGAACCAGUUACAAUAAAGCUCAGUUACGGCA